GAUGAACGCUGGCGGCGUGCCUAAUACAUGCCAGUCGAGCGAACGCACGAGAAGCUUGCUUCUCUGAUUUUAUCGGCGGACGGGUGCGUCACACGGGGAUAACCUACCUAUCAGACUGGGAUAACUUUGGGAGACCGGAGCUUCUACCGGAUGAUAUUUUGCCCCGCAUGGUUCCAAAGUUAGAGACGGUCUUGCUGACACUUAUAGAUUGAUACGCGCUGCAUUAGCUAGUUGGUAAGGUAACGGCUUAGCAAGGCAACGAGGCAUAGACGACCUGAGAGGGUGAAUGGAUACAUGGGAUCUGAGGCAGGGUCGAGACUCCUGCGGUAGGCAGCAGUCGGGAAUCUUACGCGAUGGAGCAGAGCCUGACAGUGCAACGCCGCGUGAGUGAUGAAGGACUUCGGAUCGGAAAACGCUGUUGGUAGGAAAGAACAUAAGUUUAUGUAACCGUGCAGAUAAUGACAGUACCUAAUGAGAAAGCCACGGCUAACUACGUG
rnacentral:rRNA from 1 species